rnacentral:rRNA from 1 species
UACGUAGGGUGCAAGCGUUAAUCGGAAUUACUGGGCGUAAAGCGUGCGCAGGUGGUUUGACAAGACCGACGUGAAAGCCCCGGGCUCAACCUGGGAACUGCGUUGGUGACUGUCUGACUAGAGUGUGGCAGAGGGGGGUGGAAUUCCGCGUGUAGCAGUGAAAUGCGUAGAGAUGCGGAGGAACACCGAUGGCGAAGGCAGCCCCCUGGGCUAACACUGACACUCAUGCACGAAAGCGUGGGGAGCAAACAGG